rnacentral:rRNA from 1 species
UACGAAGGUCCCAAGCGUUGUUCGGAUUCAUUGGGCGUAAAGGGUGCGUAGGCGGCGCGGUAAGUCGGGUGUGAAAUCUCGGAGCUUAACUCCGAAACUGCAUUCGAUACUGCCGUGCUUGAGGACUGGAGAGGAGACUGGAAUUUACGGUGUAGCGGUGAAAUGCGUAGAUAUCGUAAGGAAGACCAGUGGCGAAGGCGGGUCUCUGGACAGUUCCUGACGCUGAGGCACGAAGGUCAGGGGAGCAAACGGG